ensembl:snoRNA
GGCAUUGUUUUAUAUGUUUUUGUUUAACUGGUGAACAAAGACUCAUGGACAGUUGCAAAAAAGUAAAUCCUCUUUUGCAACCCAGAACUCAUUGUUCGGUAUGAGUUUUGAUACACAUAAGAAGGAAUAUU